rnacentral:rRNA from 1 species
CCCUUAGACGUUCUGGGCCGCACGCGCGCUACACUGACCAGUGCAACAAGCAUCCGUCCUUGGCCGACAGGCCCGGGCAAUCUUUGAACGCUGGUCGUGAUGGGGAUAGACUUUUGCAAUUUUUGGUCUUCAACGAGGAAUUCCUAGUAAACGCAAGUCAUCAACUUGCAUUGAUUACGUCCCUGCCCUUUGUACACACCGCCCGUCGCACCUACCGAUUGAAUGGUCCGGUGAAAUCUCGGGACGGCGGCUUGGUCGCUUGCGUCCGACUGCUGAAACUUGAUUAAACCAUAUCAUUUAGAGGAAGGUGAAGUCGUAGCA